AUUGUUAAAUUACUAACCAGAGGGUACCACUGGCUAGCCAUUAGAUAGUGUGGGCUUCUGGUUAUCCAUUAGUCAGAAAGUUGAAAUAAGGACUUCGCAUUUUCACUGUUCCACAAAGGCUGCGGGAAAAUCAGAACCUGCUUAGUCAGAAGAGUGCUAAGCAAUGAGUUUCAAUCAGCAGCACAUGAAGCUAAAUGAUGGCCACUUCAUUCCAGGACUGGAUUUUGGUACAUUCAAUCCUGAAUAGCUCCUUCAUUUCUAGGCCGUGCAGAAGUGUAAGGAUGCAGGAUUGGUCAAGUCCAUUGGGGUGUCCAUCUUUAAUAGCAGACAGCUGGAGAAAAUCUUAACAAGCCUGGUCUGAAGCACAAGCCUGUCUGCAACCAGGUAUUCCUGGAUGGUGCAAGAAGUCAAGCCAGCCAGUAAGCAUCCCUCUUCCAUGAUCUCUGCUUCAGUUCCUGCCACUAGGUUCCUACCCUGUUUGAGUUUUCCUGAUUUCACUCAGUGAUUGACUGCGAUGUGGAAGUGUAAGCUGAAAUAAACCUUUCCACCUUCAAGUUGCUUUUGGCUACUGUGUUUUAUCACAGUAGAAACCCUAACAAAGAUAUUCAUGUUAAUAUGAAUGAAAAACAGAACUUUUAAGAAAACUGUCUAGAAAUUUGUAGAAAUGCAAACAAAAUAACAACAACAAUAACAAACCAACAAAAACUAUAAAUAUGAAUUACUACAAAGUACUUGAUAAAACUAAACUCAAAGAAAACAAACAAUCCAAUUUAAAAAUAUGUUAUGGGAUAAACCUAUGUUCCCUCCUUAUCUUGUCACCGAAUCCUGGACCACAUCACUGAUGGAAGCCUCCCACUCUACCAGAAGCCCAGACAGCACCUUAACUCUGGUGUCCUGAGUUCUACAAGCAGAACAGAUUCAAGGCUGCUGGCUGAGAUGAUCCAACCUCACAGAAUACUCCAGUCAGGACCUAACCAUAAUCCUAAAUUUUCUCUGGGUCCCAUAAGAUUAUUAGCACCCCCAACCAGCAGAAAGUAGCCUAGAAAACUGCACCCAAGUUCUCAAGAGGUUGGGGUGAGUGACUUUUUUGUCAUUCAAUGGAUUAUGGAUAUUUAUCGUUGUGUAGGGGGGCUAGUUACAAAUUAUUAUUGGUAAUAGGAAAAAACUAAACCAAGAAAAUUGAAUUCAAGGUUCUUGCUUUGAAAAGAAAAGCGGGAUAUAGAUAUGAUAGGGUAAAAGAGUAGAUUAUUUAAUCUACUUUUUAAAAGCAACUGCUAGUUUUAAAUGCUUUACAUUGGAUUGCUCUUUUGUAUAUUUUGUAUAUUGGUACAAUUUUGUAUAUUAAUUGAGAAUAAUUUGUUGGACUAUACUGUAUAUGUCUAUCAUUGUUCAAGGCAUUAUACCUAUAUAAUUUAUUUAGCAAUGUAAUUCAAAUUCCUAGCCCUUGAAAAUUAUUAUUACUGAGUCAUUAGGAUAAUAAGGAAAUACAGGGUUAGUAAUUAAUUAUAUAUUAUAAUUGAACUUGUAGUCACAUUAGGCAUGUUUUUAAGAAAAAGAUAUAGUUUAGAUAGACAGGUCAUCUUCAAACACUUCAGAGGUCUACAUAGUAUGGCAUUAAUGAUGUUUUAAUAACAUAGGCUCUUUCCUAUGACAAAGAGACAUGUCUGCUCCUAGUAGCACCAAUCUACUUCAGAUAAGAUAAUGGGCACUGAAGAAACUCCAUAUGAAGUUUACGUUCUUUGUGGUAAAAGUAAGUUGGUGUGCAAGAAAAUGUCUUUGCCUUGACUGUUGGGAGUAUGUUGUCCUAAUUGGACAAGCAGGACACAAAAGAAAGUGACUGCCAAAGAUUUUCAAGACAAGGAGUAAAACCCCUUCAGAGUAUAAUAUCCUGCUUCACAGAAAAGUUUAUCAGAUAUUGUAGGCCUAUAGGCCAAAGAUAGAUGCCCCAAUGUUGCAGAGGAAUUUUGGGUAACUCUCCAGGCACCCAGAUACUUCUGUCAUUUCUCAUAAUUUUUAGGAGUCACUUGCUAAUAUUUCUUGCUUACUCAGUUAAUAUUAUUUCCUUCUUGGGUCUCUGAGGGAGUUGAAGAUUGGAUAGUAAUAGCUUACUAGACAGAGAAAGCAAGUUGUGAUUGAAAGUAAAUUGUAUGUAAGACUUUGGACUCACCAAGAUAGCACAGAUAUAGAGUAUUUUCUCUAAAUUUGCCAAUGCAAAUGGACUACACAUUGUUGAUGUACUUAUUGCCUGUAUAUAUUUUAUAUAGCCUUGUACUUAUCACAUAUAAUUUUUCGUAUAUUAGUUACAGCCUUCCCCCUUUUUAUUUUAGACAAAAGGGGAGAUGCAGUGAUAUUUCAUUUGUAUUUGAAUAAACAAAGCUUGCCUGAAGUUCAGAGAGUAAAACAGCUGAACUGAACAGCCUUACAGACCAGGUAAUUGUACAUGCCUUUAAUCCCAGCAGUAGAGAGGAAUAUAAAAAUGGGUAGAGACAGCUCUCAGACACAAUCUCAUUCUAAGUUUCCUGGAGGCAGGAUCAUGAUGUUGGACUGAAUUAGAUGUAAAACCCAGUGGUUGGCUGUUUUUGCUUUUCUGAUCAUCAGGUUGAACCCCAAUUUCUGUCUUUGGGUUUUUAUGAGUCAUGCAUACUGCAGGGAAGUAGUUAGUUGACUGUACUGCUCUUUGUUCUGCCUUUUGUCUUUCAUCUGUAUAAAAGCAAGUUCUGAAAUAA